GUGUCUCCAGCUUACCGGGACCACGUUAUGUGCCUAAGGACAUCUAGCCAAGGGGCUCAUGAAACCCCUAGACUCCCACCUCCACAGACUAUUUGUAUUAUAUGAAGGUUGGACCAGCCCUGAGAGGAAGCUGUAGUAUCUUUUAACGGAUCCAUCCAUCUCAGAGGUGUACCGUUGCAGUGGACGUUGGAUGUUCCUGCUCAAAAGAUGCUGGGAAGGGCCAGCUGGAGGUCAGCUAUCCAGGAAAUAUAGGAACACCACCUGCAGACAGCCUCACCCGGGCUGCACCACACCAUGGGAGGUCACAUCACCGGAGGUGUUCACGUGCAUUCCCACAAGGCCUGCGGAUCUCCAUCGCUGUAUCAUUCACUGACUAUACUGUUUGUGGCUUUGGGCCUGAAGUUCCUCCGGGCCUCAUCUUUACAUACCUGAAUCAAAUCCAGUGUUGGGUCACAUGAGGCAGAUGGGGCACUGACUUUCUAAUGAACUCUUGAAUGUAGCCUUGGAUGUCUUCAAGAGAAGCAAAGCCACCAAGAAGUGUGACAGUGAUGUGAAGGACCCAGCACCUUAUUUAUGAUCCCGAACAUCUACUAGACAUCACACACUCAUCUGGGACAAGAAACUGUCCCAACAAAAUGCUUUGUUCCUGACUAGAAUAGAAUACUCUUUAAUAGCACCAGGUAUUUUAUAGGGAACAAAAUCUAUAACUGACAUGGGAUAAAUGUGUGUCUGUGGUUAUUGUGUUUUGUUUUGGAUGAGGAGUAAGUAGAAUUAUCAGCUACAUUACAUGGAUUUUUUUUGUAAAAAAUUAAGUUUCUUUGGUGGUAAAAAUGGGAGAUACUAAUUCUGUUGUUUUCUUCAUCUCUCCGGGUUUAAUGGGCACCUAUUGUAUGCAAGCUAGUGUCUUAGAUGCUCCAGAAACACUAGGGAGGAAGAUAGGCCAGAUACUGCCUUUCUUACGAUUAGUUUCUAUGGGGGAGAAUGAUAAUAAAGCAAUGAAUACCAAGAAGACACCAGCUACGAUUUCCCCCAUCUCUAGUACUCAGAAAUGCAUUCUGAGGAGCAGUCUAGAUCAGCAGUUCUCAAACUGUGGGUCGUGACCCCUGGUGGGGGGUGUCAAACCAUAUCUUCACAGGGGUUGCAUAUCAGAUAUCCGGUGUAUCUGAUAUUCACAUUUUGAUUCAUAACACUAGCAAAAUUACAGUUAUGAAGUAACAGUAAAAAUAACUAUGGAUGGCGGUGUUAGGAAGGAUGAGAACCACUGCUCUAGAUGGAUUGGUGGGAGUAUGUCCUCUGCAAAGAGGUCACAUACACUGACUCCAAGUGACAGAACACUUUAAGGAAGCAAAGACAUGCAAAUGUGUCCCAGUGCAGGGAGAGAUGUGAGAUUUGUGUUGUCUUUCGACUUAUUUUUCUAUGUCUCUUUCUGGGUCCCUGUGACAAGAAGAAAAUGUCUACUUUAUUUACCAACACAUGCACAGUGCCCACACGCAGCUCCUGCUUGGCACACAAAUGCUCAAUAUCUAUUAAUGAAUAACAAAGGGCCCUUGACCUACCAUUCCUUUUUCCCCAAGGGCAGAGCAGGUCGGUCCUGCGGGUAUGGGCUGUGCCCAUCAUGUGGGAGAAUGGAGAGAGUAGGAAGCUGGUUUCCUCAUAGAGCCUGGCAAUGGCAGGCUUAGGAAUCUAGGACUGCCUGCCUGAGGCCACGCCUCUGCCCGAGGCCACGCCUCUGCCCGAGGCCACGCCUCUGCCCGAGGCCACGCCUCUGCCCGCCCUUGUACAGCUUCAUGUUGAGGCUGCUUGUUUUCUGAGCUGACAGGAAUCUGAGGCAGACUUGGUUGAAUUCACCUGCAAUCUUCUGAAAGUGUGACCAGGGUCUUAGCUACAAAGUAAGUUCUGGGUAAAAGGAAGCUUCUGAUUGAGAGUUCAAAUGCCCCUAAAGCCAAGACAGGUAAGAAAGCCCUUGGCUGCCUCCUGCGGUACAAGGAUGGGAAGAGCUAGCUGAUGUUCUGUUCUGGGGUAGCUGGAUCUUUAACCAAAUGACCACCAUCAUAUCUGCGUAGGGCGGUAAGGAUCUGAAGUCUCCUGGAAGCCUGACCCGGGUCUGGGCUGGGGUUGGAACGGCUGGAAUGCGGAUGUUUUAGGAACUGGAUGGACCUUGACUAGGAGUUGAAUCAGGACUGUCUGCUGUGGACCUUGGUUCUUCUCUUCGUGGCAACUGCAUGUGGCUUCCUGUAUCGCCUCACAGCCUAGUGGCUGGCUUCCAAGAAGGACUAUGCCAACAGUAAGCAUUCCAAGAUGGAGGAAGUGGAAGCUGCCAGAGCCAUUAAGGGUCAGCUUGGAAACUGGCCAAGUAUCACUUCCUCUGUAUUUUAUUAGUGAAAGCGCUGAGGAGCUGGCCUGCAGUUCGUGUAGGAGAGACCUGCAGAACAGCCUCUCCGAGGAAUGUGUCCAUCUGGGUCAUUCAAAUCGUAGUUGAGGAUGUUUAAAAAUAGCUGUUCUUUUGUUAUCUCAGAUAAACGAAACGUGAAAUAAAUAACCACGUGGCCCAGCAAUCUCUCUUCUGGGUAAAGGGGUCGAAAGAAAGGCCUUGAAGAUGCGUCUGCAUACCCAUGUUUAUAGCUAUGUUAUUCACCAUGGCCAAAAGGUGUAAUGGGCCUCUUUUCCAUUGGUGGGUGCAUGGCUAAACAAAAUAUGAUGCUGUCUUCAUUCUUUUGGCCUACUAUAACAAAAUAUCAGUGACUGGGUGGCUUAUAAGCAAGAGAAGUUUGUUUCUUAAUGUGAUGGAGACAAGGCAAUCUAAGAUCUAAGUACAGGUAGAUUUAGUUUCUGGUAAGAGCUCUCUUUGACUUUUCUCGUUACAGAAUUUUUACACGGUGGCAAGUGUGAGCAAUCUCUGUGUGGUAUAUUUCAAUUCUACACUUGUCCCUUGUGAUCCAUCACCUCCCAAAGUCUCUGCCUCCUAAUAUUACUAGGAUUUGUAAUAUUGGGUGCUAGGAUUUCAGCAUAUAAAUGUGUGGAGGAGACAAAUGGUCAGACCACUGUAGACCUGUGUAUACAGGGGCAUAUUGUUUAUCCUUAAAAUGAAGUGAAAUUUGUAAUGUGGAUGAGACUGGAAUGGACCUAUGUUAGGUAAAAAUAAGCUAAGGGGAAAGAAAAGAACAUUGUGUGAGUCUCUUGAUGGGCGGGCGGGGCUUAGAGCAGCCAAAUCAGCAGACAGAAAGGACAGAGGUUACUAAGGGCUGGAGGAGAAGGGAAUGGAAGUGACUGCUUUGGGUGUAGUUUCAUUUGAGGACAUAGAUAAAAAAUAUUGUAACUGAUUAAUCUGCUGAACUGUACACUUAAAAUACUUCAAUGGUGAGUGAAUUCAUUAUACAUUUCUUAUAAAUGUACACAAUAAAAACAUUGUUCUGAAUUAUGUGUGAAUAUGACAUUUUGAUGUCACCUUUUUUUCCAG
rnacentral:lncRNA from 1 species